rnacentral:rRNA from 1 species
GAUGAACGCUGGCGGCGUGCCUAAUACAUGCGAGUCGAGCGAACGGACGAGAAGCUUGCUUCUCUGAUGUUAGCGGCGGACGGGUGAGUAACACGUGGAUAACCUACCUAUAAGACUGGGAUAACUUCGGGAAACCGGAGCUAAUACCGGAUAAUAUUUUGAACCGCAUGGUUCAAAAGUGAAAGACGGUCUUGCUGUCACUUAUAGAUGGAUCCGCGCUGCAUUAGCUAGUUGGUAAGGUAACGGCUUACCAAGGCAACGAUGCAUAGCCGACCUGAGAGGGUGAUCGGCCACACUGGAACUGAGACACGUUCCAGACUCCUACGGGAGGCAGCAGUAGGGAAUCUUCCGCAAUGGGCGAAAGCCUGACGGAGCAACGCCGCGUGAGUGAUGAAGGUCUUCGGAUCGUAAAACUCUGUUAUUAGGGAAGAACAUAUGUGUAAGUAACUGUGCACAUCUUGACGGUACCUAAUCAGAAAGCCACGGCUAACUACGUG